UACGUAGGGUGCAAGCGUUGUUCGGAAUUACUGGGCGUAAAGGGCGCGUAGGCGGGCCCGUAUGUCGAUUGUGAAAGCCCUGGGCUUAACCUGGGAAUUGCAGUCGAAACUGCGGGUCUUGAGUGCCUGAGAGGAUGGCGGAAUUCCCGGUGUAGAAGUGAAAUUCGUAGAUAUCGGGAAGAACACCUGAGGCGAAGGCGGCUGUCUGGCGGUGCACUGACGCUGAGGCGCGAAAGCGUGGGGAGCAAACAGG
rnacentral:rRNA from 1 species